ensembl:lncRNA
GUUAUGUAUGUAUUACGUGUAGUUUACUAGUAUUAUGUAUGUAUUACGUAUAGUUUACUAGUAUUAUGUAUGUAUUACGUAUAGUUUACUAGUAUUAUGUAUGUAUGUAUUAUGUAUAGUUUACUAGUAUUAUGUAUGUAUUACGUGUAGUUUACUAGUAUUAUGUAUGUAUUACGUAUAGUUUACUAGUAUUAUGUAUGUAUUACGUAUAGUUUACUAGUAUUAUGUAUGUAUGUAUUAUGUAUAGUUUACUAGUAUUAUGUAUGUAUUACGUGUAGUUUACUAGUAUUAUGUAUGUAUUACGUAUAGUUUACUAGUAUUAUGUAUGUAUGUAUUAUGUAUAGUUUACUAGUAUUAUGUAUGUAUUACGUGUAGUUUACUAGUAUUAUGUAUGUAUUACGUAUAGUUUACUAGUAUUAUGUAUGUAUUACGUAUAGUUUACUAGUAUUAUGUAUGUAUUACGUAUAGUUUACUAGUAUUAUGUAUGUAUUACGUUAUAGUUUACUAGUUUUAUGUAUGUAUUACGUAUAGUUUACUAGUAUUAUGUAUGUAUGUAUAGUUUACUAGUAUUAUGUAUGUAUUAUGUAUAGUUUACUAGUAUUAUAUAUGUAUUACGUAUAGUUUACUAGUAUUAUGUAUGUAUUACGUGUAGUUUACUAGUGUUAUGUAUGUAUUACGUGUAGUUUACUAGUAUUAUGUAUAUAUUACGUGUAGUUUACUAGUAUUGUGUAUGUAUGUAUUACGUAUAGUUUACUAGUAUUAUGUAUGUAUGUAUUACGUAUAGUUUAAUAGUAUUACGUAUGUAUGUAUUAUGUAUGUAUGUAUGUAUAAGAUACAAGCGAUACCCUGUAAAGAACAUAACAAUAAAGCAUCAGCAGUAUUCCAGCCGUGUUCUGACUUCCUUGUGGUGGAAGAAGUGAUCAAGUGUCUUAAUCCUCAGCACCAUGAACAUACUGCUAAUGCAACUGUGUGUUCAAGGUUUUAACGUGUUGGAUCUCUGCAGGUUUUUGGGCUUGCGGCACACAACAGGAUGUAAAAACCAAAGUGCAUCUCUCCGUCCCUCCUCCCUCUCUCACUCCCUUCUCUCCCUCUCUCUCUCUCUCUCUCUCUCUCUCUCCCCCACACCGCUCAGUUAAUCUGAUUAAACCAGCAGCUGUCUGCGGUUCUGCGGCAACAAUAGCGGCUGGCUGAGCCGCCGAUUAGCGCGGUUGCAUCAUGAAUUAUGCAGCGAGGGGAAGGUGGCGCAGUGAGGGGAAGGUGGCGCAGCGAGGGGAAGGUGGCGCAGUGAGGAGGGGAAGGUGGCGCCGUGAGGGGAAGGUGGCGCAGUGAGGGGAAGGUGGCGCAGUGAGGAGGGGAAGGUGGCGCAGUGAGGGGAAGGUGGCGCAGUGAGGAGGGGAAGGUGGCGCCGUGAGGGGAAGGUGGCGCAGUGAGGGGGAAGGUGGCGCAGUGAGGAGGGGAAGGUGGCGCCGUGAGGGGAAGGUGGCGCAGCGAGGGGAAGGUGGCGCCGUGAGGGGAAGGUGGCGCAGUGAGGGGAAGGUGGCGCAGUGAGGAGGGGAAGGUGGCGCAGUGAGGAGGGGAAGGUGGCGCCGUGAGGGGUAGGUGGCGCAGUGAGGAGGGGAAGGUGGCGCCGUGAGGGGAAGGUGGCGCAGUGAGGGGAAGGUGGAUGAAUGGAUGGAUGAAUGGAUGGAUGAAUGGAUGAAACCUUUAAAGAAUAAAGGCCUGUUUGAUGUGGAAGACGAGGAGCCACACACACACACACACACACACACACACACACACACACACACACACACACACACACACACACACACACACACAGGUGGAGCUCCGCCUACCUCUCUUGGUGAUGAUGAUGCGGAGCAGUGGGUUUGCCGCCGACACCGCCUUGUGGAAGUUGUCGUCGUUGUUGAUGGGCAGCAGGUCGCCGUGGACGUCCGCGUAUCCCAGCAGCACGUCGGUGCCGGGGACGCGGGUGGAGGUUCUGGAGGAGGCGGUAGAACUCCUGGAAGCCGCCGGCGCCGUUCCUCCUCAGGGCGAAGCGCCGGUACUCGGCCUCGAACUGGAAGAGAGGGUGACAGCAGCCGGUGGGUCGACGAGCUACACGGGCGGCACGACGCCUCCGUCCUCCACAAACAGGACAAGGUCAAGUUUCUCCUCGUCCCGCUCCUCUGAGCACCUCCACGACCUGCGACCCCUGACCUGAGGUCAUCCCGCCAUGUUUACUUACAUCUGCUUUUAACCUGAGAUGCUGGUUAACUAGGUUCUUCUUUCGUUUCUUACUUUGUUUGACUUUUUUAUUCCCGUCACACCCAAAAAAAAAGCAACGUUCUCGAAUGUUAGACGUGUAAAUGGAGUAAAGCCAGAUGAGAGAACAUCUGUCAGUCCACGUUGUUGUUGUUGAGGAGACUUUGAGGCCGCGGCUCACAUUGACCUUUUGCCCAGUAGGUGAUCAGCUUUCCGUUCAGCGUGACGCAGCUGGUGUUGUUGUGACUGUAUAGAAGCAUUGCCACAGUUUCCUCUUGGCACACGGCCACGUGUUAGCAUACCACAGCUAGCAUAGCACGGUAACCCGCCGUCGGGUCGAAGGCCUGACUGUGGCCGUACCAGAAAACAUCGAUAACACGACAAAUAUUGUGAAAAUGUUACUCGUGGUUUGCGUUCAGUUACAUUAUGAUGAGUUAGCUGAAUGAUAACUGGGAUGCGUUCAAGUGUAACCCUGUGAAACGGGGAUAAGGAACAAAUCUCAGCCGACUGGAACACGGCAUAACCAGUCAGUAGUGCGACCUUUGACCUGUGGUCCGGGGUUAUGGGAAAGGUGCCAGCAGAAGGUGUGAUGGGUUUGUCCUCUGCAGGUGAUACGUCGGUCAUCACCUACACCUGUUCCAGCGGGUGGAGCAGAGCGGUGACACCGCGGUGCACGUUAGUGGUGUUAGAGGUGUGAUUGCAGCACGCAGGGAACAUUUUGUCUUGGGCCGUGAUCUAAUCACAACACUGGAAAUAUUCCACUCUAGUUAAACGGAUUAAUAAAAAAGGGAAAAGCUGGUUCAUGCAAUUAUGUAAAUGGCUUAACAGGAACACAAGCAAAGCAUUAUUAUUCGUACAGUGGAAGCGGGUUCAGGCUCUGAUGAAAAACAUGGUUAUGAAUCACUGGUGUCUUAUUUAUUUUGCAGGAACAACGUUGUACCGUAAGUGAGCGAGAGUUAGCCAGAGAGGCUAACGUCCAUCUGCUGCCCCCGCCAGAUGUUUGCCUGAAUUUAACAUAAUUAAAAGAGAAAAUAAAAAAAUAGUAACAUGAAGCAACAAGAAGCAACUCUGUUGCUUCAUGAAAACAACCAGAGACCCGAGAGGCACCAAGAGGAGCCGAGUCCGUUUGGAGGUCUGACGUGAGUUACGUUCCAUCAGAAAACUAUUUAUUUAUUUAUUAAUUAAUCCUCUGGUGGCAACAGCACCAACAAGCUAACAAGCUAACUCGCCGGCCAGUGGCGAGCGUCGAACAGCUGCUCGGGCAGCCGCGGGCCCUUUUCGGGGUCAAUGGUGGUCCCGGGACGCGGGU